CUGGGACUGAGACACGGCCCAGACUCCUACGGGAGGCAGCAGUGGGGAAUUUUCCGCAAUGGGCGAAAGCCUGACGGAGCAAGACCGCGUGGGGGAGGAAGGUUCUUGGAUUGUCAACCCCUUUUCUCAGGGAAGAAAGCAAUGACGGUACCUGAGGAAAAAGCAUCGGCUAACUCCGUGCCAGCAGCCGCGGUAAUACGGGGGAUGCAAGCGUUAUCCGGAAUGAUUGGGCGUAAAGAGUCCGUAGGUAGUCAUUCAAGUCUGCUGUUAAAGAGCGAGGCUUAACUUCGUAAAGGCAGUGGAAACUGGAAGACUAGAGUGUAGUAGGGGCAGAGGGAAUUCCUGGUGUAGCGGUGAAAUGCGUAGAGAUCAGGAAGAACACCGGUGGCGAAGGCGCUCUGCUGGGCUAUAACUGACACUGAGGGACGAAAGCUAGGGGAGCGAAUGGGAUUAGAUACCCCAGUAGUCCUAGCGGUAAACGAUGGAAACUAGGUGUGGCCUGUAUCGACCCGGGCCGUGCCGAAGCUAACGCGUUAAGUUUCCCGCCUGGGGAGUACGCACGCAAGUGUGAAACUCAAAGGAAUUGACGGGGGCCCGCACAAGCGGUGGAGUAUGUGGUUUAAUUCGAUGCAACGCGAAGAACCUUACCAGGACUUGACAUCUCGGGAAUCUGCCUGAAAGGGGAGAGUGCCGUAAGGAACCCGAAGACAGGUGCUGCAUGGCUGUCGUCAGCUCGUGUCGUGAGAUGUUGGGUUAAGUCCCGCAACGAGCGCAACCCUCGUCGUUAGUUGCCAUCAUUAAGUUGGGAACUCUAGCGAGACUGCCGGUGACAAACCGGAGGAAGGUGAGGAUGACGUCAAGUCAGCAUGGCCCUUACGUCCUGGGCGACACACGUACUACAAUGCGAGGGACAGAGAGCAGCCAACCCGCGAGGGAGAGCGAACCUCAGAAACCCUGGCACAGUUCAGAUUGCAGGCUGCAACUCGCCUGCAUGAAGGAGGAAUCGCUAGUAAUCGCAGGUCAGCAUACUGCGGUGAAUCCGUUCCCGGGCCUUGUACACACCGCCCGUCACACCAUGGAAGUGAGCCACGCCCGAAGUCAUUACUCUAACCGAAAGGGGGAGGGUGCCGAAGGCGGGGUUGAUGACUGGGGUGAAGUCGUAACAAGGUAGCCGUACCGGAAGGUGUGGCUGGAUCACCUCCUUUAAGGGAGACCUACUUUUGAGUUGAGUGCCAAAUCCAAACAAACACAGCACCCUCAAAAGUCAUCCCAGGUCGUACUAGGAAAAAAGAGACUUUCAAGCGUAUCUCAAGUUCGGAAAAUGGGCUAUUAGCUCAGGUGGUUAGAGCGCACCCCUGAUAAGGGUGAGGUCCCUGGUUCAAGUCCAGGAUGGCCCACCUAGAACAAUGUGGGGGUAUAGCUCAGUUGGUAGAGCGCUGCCUUUGCAAGGCAGAUGUCAGCGGUUCGAGUCCGCUUACCUCCGCUGAAAACCCUCCAAGAACCGAGCAGCACUACGACUUUCCGUCAAGAAAGAGUAAAUGCUGGAAAAAGU
rnacentral:ncRNA from 1 species